UAUAAAACACUUACAGAAAACUCCUAAAAGC
rnacentral:piRNA from 1 species